ACCUGGUCUUGACAUCCACAGAACUUUCCAGAGAUGGAUUGGUGCCUUCGGGAACUGUGAGACAGGUGCUGCAUGGCUGUCGUCAGCUCGUGUUGUGAAAUGUUGGGUUAAGUCCCGCAACGAGCGCAACCCUUAUCCUUUGUUGCCAGCGGUUAGGCCGGGAACUCAAAGGAGACUGCCAGUGAUAAACUGGAGGAAGGUGGGGAUGACGUCAAGUCAUCAUGGCCCUUACGACCAGGGCUACACACGUGCUACAAUGGCAUAUACAAAGAGAAGCGACCUCGCGAGAGCAAGCGGACCUCAUAAAGUUUGUCGUAGUCCGGAUUGGAGUCUGCAACUCGACUCCAUGAAGUCGGAAUCGCUAGUAAUC
rnacentral:rRNA from 1 species